rnacentral:lncRNA from 1 species
UCUCCUGAAUCUGGAGCUCAUACUUCCUCCCAUACACCAGGGGUUUUCGAAGUGUGCUCCCAGACCGGCGCCUGGGAACUGGUUAGAAAUGUGAAUCCUAGCCCAUGCUCCAGAUCUCCUGAAUCUGAGACCUUGGCGUAGGGCCCAGCGCGUGGUCUGAGCAAGCCCUCUGGGUGAUUCUGACGGACGCUGGAGUUUGAGAACCACUGUUUUACAGCAUGUCGUAUCCCAUUCCUGUCUGCCUUCCCGCCUCUCUGCAUCCUCGAAUUGCCAACCAAAAUUUGGGACCCUCAGACGCCUCCUAAGUUGAAUCACGUCCCCUUCACCCUCUUCACGUCAGGACACGUCCACUGCAGAGGGCACACUGGACCCGGGUCCACGUCCCUGCCUGUUUGUCUUCUCUCUACCUGGGUGUCCGCACCUCUUCAAGAACACCAUUACUGCUGAAGGUGCUUUGAGGCAGACCAGCUAUACCUGGAACUUCGACCUGGGAGCAUCUCUCUUAAGCUCAUCUCGUUUUCUUCGUGACUACUUUCCUUCUUCCAUUGCUUAGGCCAGUUUUUCUAAAAGCCCUUGGACUUUUUCAGAGACAGUUGCAAGGUGGAGGGACUCUGGUAAAAAUUGGGAUGUCUGCUGGACAAGGACAAAGAUGAACACCCAACAGCUCACCAUGCACCUUCCAAACACGACAGAGAGUUUGUAACAUCCUUUUUAUGGUCCUGGACCAGCGAACAGCGUCUGCCCUCUCUGCUCAGCUCUAGACCAAUGUUUCCAACUGCUUCUUGAGCGUCUUUCCCUGGAUGUUGCUAGAAGGGACUCAAAAGGAACCUGCUGGUCCUUCUUUGAUCUCAGAUCAUGGCUUCAUCAUGCACACAGCCAUCCAAGCAAAAAGUAGCAAUUAUUGUGUCUUCCUCAUAUUUUUUUUAAUCCAACUGGUCCAUGAGAGCUGUUAUUUCUGUAUUUCUACCACUGACAUGUCUUUUCCUCCCUAUUGCCAUUGUGACUCUCUAUUUGGACAACCUCCAGUGUCCUCUAACUAAUUUCCUCCCAUCCAAUCUCACCCUGCCCACUCCCUUCAAUCAGACACACACACACUUCCCUCCCGAAAAAUCUCUGGAUAUUUAUUGUGUAGAAUAAAGUACAAGUGUCAUAGGUUAGUGCUGAAGGUUUUUCCCAAUUUGAUCUCAAACCCUUCUUCUUAACUUCCUCUCAACCAAUGCACCCUGCUUCAACUCUGGGCCUUUGCAAAGGCUGCUCUUCUUUUCCUACUUCUCAUUAUUUUAUUUUU